UUUACAUGAAUUAAGCUGCAUCUGUUCUUACUCUAGGCUAGAACUGGAGUGUAAUAAAGGCAGAGAAUAGACUAGCUUUGUAAUUUCUUCUGUAUCAGCUCUAACACUUCACCUUCCACAGCCGGCUCUAUUAGCAGGAUGAUGUUGCUACCACAAGAUGGCAGUACCCUCUCUCCUCAGACUUGCUUGGUUUGAAAUCAACAUGUUGGUAUUGAAAGCGCAGGAUAGAGCUCCCUCUGAUUGGCUGGGUAAGAAGCCUGAGUCUCUCUCUGGGAUCCAGAGAGACUAGAUAAAUAUACCCAGAAAAAAGAACUAGACUGAGGAACCUGGCUUCAUUUCAGGCUCUGGAGCUGAGUCUCCUGUGAUCCCAAUAAGGAGGAAGAAUGGAGAAACUCCUGACCGUGUCUUUGGUGAUUCUGUGGCUUCAACUGGCCAGGGUGAAUAGCCAGCAAGGAGAAGAGAAUCUUCAGGCCCUGAGCAUCCAGGAGGGUGAAAAUGCCACCAUGAACUGCAGUUAUAAAACUGCUAUAGACACCUUACAUUGGUACAGACAGGAUUCAAGGAGAGGCUUUGCCCACCUGAUUUUGAUACGUUCAAAUGAGAGAGAGAAGCGUAGUGGAAGACUGCGAGUCACGUUUGACAACUCCAUCAAAGGCAGUUCCCUGUCCAUCACGGCUUCCCAGGCUGCAGACACUGCUAUUUACCUCUGUGCUACGGAUACACAGUGCUCACCAGGCAACUGCAGCCCCAACGCAAACCCUGCCAGAGCUGUCUCUUAGAAGCCGCAACAGUGUGUAGAGUUGGUGGUUAUGUCUUCCCACAAAGGAGAGUCUACAAACAGCUGGCAACAGGAAAGGGAGGCCUGUCAAAUUCCUGAUGUUUUUGGCAGCAUGUUAGACUAGGGUAAAGGCCAUGAGAUUUAGAACGGGAAACUGAAAUACCAGCUUCAGCUCUGCCCAUCCUGGCUCUGUGUCCUUAAGCACACCAUCGGUGUAGCAGCCUUCAGUUUCCUCACUUUAAACAAAGGAUUUGGACUGAUGAGCCUAAAGACCUUUCAAGCUCUAAUUUUACCAGGUCACUUGUGGAGGAUGAGGAAGGACUUGUCAGUAUUAGAAGGUCUCAUCUGUUAUAUGUACAGCCUCCUCAAGACUUAGGUGGGGCUUUGAGAUGCAUGAGAGGAUUUUUGCAUUUCUCUAAUUCCAACAGUAGAUUCAUCAGACAUUAGAGUUAAAAAGGAUCUUAGGACUCUU